AUGAUUUGGUGCUGCAUCAUUUGUUAUGUGUUUGUGGCUCUUACUCUCAAAUCUUUAUUGAGUCACAUCAAUUUUGCACAUAGUCGUAGUCCAGAUUUCCGCCUGGUUUGCGGAAUAGAUGGGUGUACUAAAGAGUACCGAGUCUACAACUCUUUUUGGUAUCACAUCAGACGAACACACUCACAAUAUCUAGACGGCGUGAGUAGCAGCAGAUCACAUCGGAGAGAGAGAUCAGCACAACACGAGGCAUCCGGUGAACCUAGAAGAACGGACAGCAACAACUUGUGGACAUAUAGUGGACCAACACUGGUGGCUCAGGAUACUCGGAACUCAAGUGACAGUCCGGAUAAUGAAACGACAAUGGAGAAUAAUGUGGAUUUUCAAACCUCUCUUCUUGUUCCUGUGGAACAUUUUGGUGAUUUUGAUGCUUUUGACACUGGUGAAACAGUUUUCUCUGGCUUAAGCAGUAACACCGUUUUGCGGUCUCCUCCGAACCUGGAAGCACAGGAUGUACUACUAAAUGAAACUUCAGAUACGAAUCCCACUCUACCUAUUCCAAACAGGCCUUCAGAUGACUCAAGUUCUCCAUGCCUCCCCCAAGAAACCAUGAAUGACGAAUUAUCAAGUGAUGGUGUGCUAUCCAGACAUGCCACUGCUAAUGUGAUGGCUGCUAGAGAGAAACAUCAUCUCUCACAGAGUGGUGUGAAUGAGGCUGCGGUUCAGGAGUAUCAAGCUCAGUUACUGAACAGCUUGAGGAGUCAGCUACAAACAGUAUUCAACAGACAUGCAGGAAGUGAACUUCAACGAGAAGCUUAUAUGGAGCAGUGGUUUCCGUAUGUGGAGAUACUUUAGCUCAACAUGAGUUAUGUGGAUUUAAAGAGGGUAUGGGCUUUGCAUACAGUAAAUGCCAACAUUGUGAAUGUUCUUUUGAGGACAUGCAAAUGUUUUUUAAUGAAGAAAACUUUGAGCAAAGAACACUGGAAAGACAUAUUCGACAGUGCAGUGACAUUGAGAAAGCCAGUACUGAAUAUCUCAGGAACAGCCUUAAAACUACAUAUGGAAUAAACCAAAGGAGCAAAGUAAUGGAUUUCCCUGC
ensembl:lncRNA